UGUGGCUUAGUGGUAGAGUGCUUGCCUAGCAUGCAUGACACCCUGGGUUCAAUUUCUCAGCA
rnacentral:tRNA from 1 species